GAUGAAGAACGUAGCGAAAUGCGAUAAGUAAUGUGAAUUGCAGAAUUCAGUGAAUCAUCGAAUCUUUGAACGCACAUUGCGCCCCCUGGUAUUCCGGGGGCAUGCCUGUUCGAGCGUCAUUUCACCACUCAAGCCUCGCUUGGUAUUGGGCAACGCGGUCCGCCGCGUGCCUCAAAUCGUCCGGCUGGGUCUUCUGUCCCCUAAGCGUUGUGGAAACUAUUCGCUAAAGGGUGUUCGGGAGGCUACGCCGUAAAACAACCCCAUUUCUAAGGUUGACCUCGGAUCAGGUAGGGAUACCCGCUGAACUUAAGCAUAUCAAUAAGCGGAGGA
rnacentral:misc_RNA from 1 species